CUCUCUCUCUCUCUCUCUCUCUCUCUCUCUCUCUCUCUCUCUCUCUCUCUCUCUCUCACCAUAAGGCGUCAAAACCUCUACUACAACACAAGACAUCACACCACACACUGUUGCUGUCUGCUAUCUUCGUCCGGCUAUUCCUGCCUCAGUUCCCUUCUAUGCAAGAUGUGAAGAAUAGUGGCCGUGGUACUUGUGUCCCGGAGGGCUGGCUGGCUGGCUGGCUCUCUCUCUCUCUCUCUCUCUCUCUCUCUCUACCAGGGACUCUUCACUCACUCUCACACUUCUGAGUUUACUCGACUAUUCUGCUUCUGGGCACUUUAUUUAUUUAUUUUUUUUCGUCUGUGUGUGUGUGUGUGUGUGUGUGUGUGUGUGUGUGUGUGUGUGUGUGUGUGUGUGUGUGUGUGUGUGUGUGUGUGUGUGUGUGUGUGUGUGUGUGUGUGUGUGUGUGUGUGUGUGUGUGAUGUCUACGUAGGUACGUACUUUUGAGGACAUCCUUGCCUCAAUUCUUCGUCUGUGUGAAAUCUUUUAUUCAUUGUCGAGGAGAGAGAGAGAGAGAGAGAGAGAGAGAGAGAGAGAGAGAGAGAGAGAGAGAGAGAGAGAGAGAGAGAGAGAGAGAGAGAGAGAGAGACGUCUACUUCGCUCUUAAAGGAACACGAGCGUAAAAUAUUUCACUAGCAGGUUCCAUUAUUUACUUCUGCUGCGCUAGACACUAAACACCACCCCACCUCUCCCUCCCCUCCCCUCCUCCUUGUUUUCCUCCUCAUCCUCUUACAGCUAUUACUACUACGACGUCCUCCUCCUCCUCUUCUUCCUCCUUCGUUUUUUUACCUCCUCCACCUUCUCUUGCUACUGGGAAAAGAUGGUAAUGGUUGAGGAGGAGGAGGAGGAGGAGGAGGAGGAGGAGGAGGAAAAUAUCCGCUUACCUGCCCUGGCAACUACGCCUGCAACUCAUUUGUGAAAGAUAUAGUACCUGUUAGAGUAAUGAGAGGAUUGCAAGGCUGGGUCGUUAUGGUCAUUAAUUAUAGGCAGUGUAAUAAGUCACGAACACACACACAUUCUCUCUCUCUCUCUCUCUCUCUCUCUCUCUCUCUCUCUCUCUCUCUCUCUCUCUCUGCUGGUCCAUCAUCUGCCCACCUGGUUUCUUAACAAUCAAUCAAUCAGUCAAGCUAUCUAUCUAUCAUUCAACUAUAUAACUUACUUAAUCUAUUCUAACUGAAGUGGAAGUUGACGAGGAAAAGUCUUCGCCUUUACUAUCCCACGUCAAUUAAGCAAUGUAGUUUUAUCACAAGUAAAUUCGUUAAGGGCCAACAUCUCUGGUGCUCUUUGUUCUUUGUUUGUGCUUCUAUCUAUAUAACCAUGCAUGUAUCUAUCUUACCUAUCUAUUCUGACACCUGUUCCCUAUUAAUUCCUCUUCUAUUAUUAACUGAGAGAGAAUUCAACACAAUUACUCCAGACUUUCCAUACACUCGACCCUCGCAACACACUGCAGUCCUCGCAUUCUCCCGCUUCUCUCCCUCUCUCUCAAGUGUUCCAACACUGUGUCCUCCCAUUUUUGAGAAGGGGACAGACAACUUCCUGUACAUCCUCGGUGUUAUGUAAGCUCCUCUCACUCUCUCUCAAGGUGACCAAUGCUUCUUUCCUAUUUAGAUACGAGUAGAAAGUAAGCACGAAGGGAGCUCUUUAAAUAUUGUUAUCAGUAAGUAAAGUGCAUAUAUGUACAUCAAUGGAAAUUCAAUAACACGUAAUAUGAAGGGCAAAAAAAGGAGAAAAGAAAAGAAAAAUCCGAAACGAAUGGCAGGAAGACCACUUUAAGCAAUGGUCAGGAUAAUACAUACCCUACCGGUGUGUGUGUGUGUGUGUGUGUGUGUGUGUGUGUGUGUGUGUUGGCCUUCUCUCCUCCCUCUCCCUCCCUCGGCACAAUGAGCAAUUGGCGUGGGAUAGAAGCAACAUCCCUCUCUAGUGACCCCAGUGUGCAGGAUGUGCCAAUGUUACUGUUAUUAUGAACUGUGUGCUGCGUUGGACUGACCUGCAGAUGAGCCGUAACUAGGUGGCUAAACAAGAACCGCCACUCUCGGCUUAAGUUCACCUCACGUCAGCUAAGAUAUAAACAGCCCUCUGAAACACAGAAGGAAUCUUGAGCACUGAAACUAUUUGUUACGUCAACCUCCUUAUGUUACGUUUGUGUCACUCCGUACCGGGUUAUGGCAAGGCUAUACACAUUCAAUGGAUUAUGUGAGUCCAUUACUUCAACCCGUAAUCAAAACACUGAUCUCUCACCGGAACUAUUUUCAAAGGCCAAAGAGGUAACGAGCAAGGUUCUCAAUACUGUUUCACCUGUUAAUAAGAUAAAAAUCUUGUUAAUAUGUCACUAGAACCGUAAUAACACCCUUAAAAACCUGUGUAACCUGAAGUAUUUAGUCGAGGUGGUGGCAGAAGUGUUUCAGAAUAUGGUCCUUCCUACUGGUGUGUUGCGCUAACUUAGGUUCAGUCGUGGCUCUCAGUUUGCCUUGGCCCCGAGCUUGUCUUUGUUCUCGAGUGGCAGCGGGGAUGCCUAAGCGAGGUGGAGGACGUCGAUACAAGACUAAGUAAGCAA